ensembl:snoRNA
CACACGUUCCUUAGAUCCGCCUCUGGGGAGCGUCAGUGCUCUUCUUCUGCUGCUCUCUGUGUGAGAGCAUCAGGGUCGACCGCAGCUCCCGCCAGCUUUACUGCUGUACCGUCAGAGGCGCUUGAGUCAUUGGCGUGUGAGAUCAGUCCAUCUGCUUACCCAGAAUUCUCUCUGCCCUGAACCUUCACAGGAGUCCACCAGGGCAGAGCUGCUGGGUAGCGGACACA